rnacentral:rRNA from 1 species
GUUAAGCGACUAAGCGUACACGGUGGAUGCCCUGGCAGUCAGAGGCGAUGAAGGGCGUGCUAAUCUGCGAUAAGCGCCGGUAAGGUGAUAUGAACCGUUAUAACCGGCGAUACCCGAAUGGGGAAACCCAGUGUGAUUCGUCACACUAUCAUUAACUGAAUCCAUAGGUUAAUGAGGCGAACCGGGGGAACUGAAACAUCUAAGUACCCCGAGGAAAAGAAAUCAACCGAGAUUCCCCCAGUAGCGGCGAGCGAACGGGGAGGAGCCCAGAGCCUGAAUCAGCAUGUGUGUUAGUGGAAGCGUCUGGAAAGGCGCGCGAUACAGGGUGACAGCCCCGUACACAAAAGCGCAUGUGCUGUGAGCUCGAUGAGUAGGGCGGGACACGUGGUAUCCUGUCUGAAUAUGGGGGGACCAUCCUCCAAGGCUAAAUACUCCUGACUGACCGAUAGUGAACCAGUACCGUGAGGGAAAGGCGAAAAGAACCCCGGCGAGGGGAGUGAAAAAGAACCUGAAACCGUGUACGUACAAGCAGUGGGAGCACAGGUUUACCUGUGUGACUGCGUACC